GACGAACGCUGGCGGCGUGCCUAAUACAUGCAAGUCGAGCGAACGGACGAGAAGCUUGCUUCUCUGAUGUUAGCGGCGGACGGGUGAGUAACACGUGGAUAACCUACCUAUAAGACUGGGAUAACUUCGGGAAACCGUAGCUAAUACCGGAUAAUAUUUUGAACCGCAUGGUUCAAAAGUGAAAGACGGUCUUGCCGUCACUUAUAGAUGGAUCCGCGCUGCAUUAGCUAGUUGGUAAGGUAACGGCUUACCAAGGCAACGAUGCAUAGCCGACCUGAGAGGGUGAUCGGCCACACUGGAACUGAGACACGGUCCAGACUCCUACGGGAGGCAGCAGUAGGGAAUCUUCCGCAAUGGGCGAAAGCCUGACGGAGCAACGCCGCGUGAGUGAUGAAGGUCUUCGGAUCGUAAAACUCUGUUAUUAGGGAAGAACAUAUGUGUAAGUAGCUGUGCACAUCUUGACGGUACCUAAUCAGAAAGCCACGGCUAACUACGUG
rnacentral:rRNA from 1 species